AUGGUCCUGUCGGCGGCGUUCGACAGCAGGACGAACGAUGUGGAGAGCUCCGUCGCGGCCCGCGGCGACCUGUGGCGCGCCGAGGCGUCGCACUCCAGCAGCGGCAGCAGAGGCGGCGGUGACGGCGGCGCGGCGCCGCUGUUCCUGGUGCAGCUCGGGCCCGUGCUCUUCCUCCGCGACACGACGCUACUCUUCCCCGUGCACCUCUCCAAGCGCCACCUCAUCUGGUACGGCUUCGAGCACAAGAACGGAGUGCACUCGGUGUGCCCGGCGUACUGGAAAGCUCGCCGGAGAUGCUUCUUCAUGUCGAUGAUCUGCCUCAACCCCUUUGCCUGCUCAUUCAUGGACAUGCAAUUCCCCAACGGGCAGCUCAGAUAG
rnacentral:rRNA from 1 species